rnacentral:lncRNA from 1 species
GCCAUCCAAACUUCUCCAAUUAUGAGCUUCUCCAUUCAUCUACCAGACUGCUCCAAACGCUCUCUGAACUUCACUUUCAGUCGAUUCUCUAUAGUGAACGACUAUUCUCCGAAUCUCUUCCAGACUUCUCCCAGCCAUGAUCGACUUGACUCCAAACUUCCUCCGAACUUCGUCGAUGAUCGAGCUUCUUCAGUAGUAGGAUUUUUACAGUAACCAGACUCCAUCCAAGUUUCUACGGUGGUCGACCGCCUUCCGAAUUUUAGUCGAACCUCUACUGCAAGCGAUCUACUCUGGAUCUCUACUGUAAGUGA